rnacentral:rRNA from 1 species
UACGGAGGGUGCAAACGUUGCUCGGAAUUAUUGGGCGUAAAGCGCACGUAGGCGGCCGACCAAGUCGGGUGUGAAAGCCCUGGGCUCAACCCAGGAAGUGCACUCGAAACUGGUCGGCUUGAAUAUGGAAGAGGGUCGCGGAAUUCCCGGUGUAGAGGUGAAAUUCGUAGAUAUCGGGAGGAACACCAGUGGCGAAGGCGGCGACCUGGGCCAAUAUUGACGCUGAGGUGCGAAAGCGUGGGGAGCAAACAGG